GGGGAGAGACAGAUCACUGGCGAUGGCAGGAUGGAGGUAUGGAAAGGGGAGAGACAGAUCACUGGUGAUGGCAGGAUGGAGGUAUGGAAAGGGGAGAGACAGAUCACUGGCUAUGGCAGGAUGGAGGUAUGGAAAAGGGAGAGACAGAUCACUGGCGAUGGCAGGAUGGAGGUAUGGAAAAGGGAGAGACAGAUCACUGGCGAUGGCAGGAUGGAGGUAUGGAAAAGGGAGAGACAGAUCACUGGCGAUGGCAGGAUGGAGGUAUGGAAAGGGGAGAGACAGAUCACUGGCGAUGGCAGGAUGGAGGUAUGGAAAGGGGAGAGACAGAUC